rnacentral:tRNA from 1 species
AGAGGUGUAGUUCCAAUUGGCAGAACGGCGGGCUCCAAAUCCGCGCGAUGAGGGUUCGAGUCCUUCCACCUCUGC